GUAGGGAAUAUUGCACAAUGGAGGAAACUCUGAUGCAGCGACGCCGCGUGAGUGAUGAAGGCCUUCGGGUCGUAAAGCUCUGUUGCAGGGGAAGAACACAAUGACGGUACCCUGCUAGAAAGGAUCGGCUAACUUCGUGCCAGCAGCCGCGGUAAGACGAGGGAUCCUAGCGUUGUUCGGAAUUAUUGGGCGUAAAGCGGGUGCAGGUGGCUUGGUAAGUCAGAUGUGAAAGCCUGGGGCUUAACCCCAGAAGUGCAUUUGAUACUGCUGAGCUUGAGUGUUGGAGAGGCUAUUAGAAUUCCUGGUGUAGUGGUGAAAUACGUAGAUAUCAGGAGGAAUACCGGAGGCGAAGGCGGAUAGCUGGCCAGACACUGACACUCAGACCCGAAAGCGUGGGGAUCAAACAGGAUUAGAUACCCCUGUAGUCC
rnacentral:rRNA from 1 species